CAUUAGACCUCUUUUGCUGUCAAGCAGUGCAGGUUGUCAGUGGUCAGAGGUUCAUCCAGAGAUCCAGCUGCUGCUGAGGCUGCUCUCUGAUGCUGGCGGGGCUCAUCUCUGCGCGUGCUGCUUGAAAGGGGAAGUUAGAUUCUGCACACAGUUCCUUUUUCAUCUCUGACUUGUGGGACUGUUGCAAGUGGAUGUCGUGCUGCAGGUCUCUGUUCUGCCUGCAUCUUCGAGCUGUGAGUCGAGCCCCCGGAGACUGAUCGGUAGAUACACAUCAACAGCUUGCGUCAUUAAUAUUGAAAGCCCUCACUGCCGACCUCGAGUCAUGACGAGAUCGUGCACAAGUUUCAGGCCUGCGACGACGCGAGGCGGGAAACAUGUUGUGACCAUAAUCCCAUGUUUACCGGCUUGUUACUCACGGCCCAGUCACUUCCUCCUUGCAGGGGGAGGAAGGGAAGGAUAGGGAGCCGAGAUGAUGAAGUCAAAGUUUAUUAUGUGCCUAUAUGGCUGAUGCAGCAUAUUCGGAGCAUGGUAAUUCAUCAAUGUCAGAUGCCUGUGCUCGCUGUAUCAGUGUAACUCAUAGUUACUUAUAUCCCAGACUGUAAACUCAUUGUGCUGAUGUUCUAUUUUGUUGAUGUUGUUGUUGUUGUUGUUGUUGUUGUUUUGUCCGCCAUGAUUAGGUAAGCUUUUCACGUAAUGGA